AGACUCCUACGGGAGGCAGCAGUGGGGAAUAUUGCACAAUGGGCGCAAGCCUGAUGCAGCCAUGCCGCGUGUGUGAAGAAGGCCUUCGGGUUGUAAAGCACUUUCAGCGAGGAGGAAGGGUUCAGUGUUAAUAGCACUGUUCAUUGACGUUACUCGCAGAAGAAGCACCGGCUAACUCCGUGCCAGCAGCCGCGGUAAUACG
rnacentral:rRNA from 1 species